rnacentral:rRNA from 1 species
UACGGGGGGGGCAAGCGUUGUUCGGAAUUACUGGGCGUAAAGGGCUCGUAGGUGGCCAACUAAGUCAGACGUGAAAUCCCUCGGCUUAACUGGGGAACUGCGUCCGAUACUGGAUGGCUUGGAUUUGGGAGAGGGAUGCGGAAUUCCAGGUGUAGCGGUGAAAUGCGUAGAUAUCUGGAGGAACACCGGUGGCGAAGGCGGCAUCCUGGACCAAUAUUGACGCUGAGGAGCGAAAGCCAGGGGAGCAAACGGG